rnacentral:rRNA from 1 species
UACGGGGGGGGUAAGCGUUGUUCGGAAUUACUGGGCGUAAAGGGCUCGUAGGCGGCCAACUAAGUCGGACGUGAAAUCCCUCAGCUUAACUGGGGAACUGCGUCUGAUACUGGAUGGCUUGGAUUUGGGAGAGGGAUGCGGAAUUCCAGGUGUAGCGGUGAAAUGCGUAGAUAUCAGGAGGAAUACCGGUGGCGAAAGCGACUCUCUGGACGGCAACUGACGCUGAGGCACGAAAGCGUGGGGAGCAAACAGG